GGGGCGGUGGUAGCUCAGUCGGGUAAGCGCCCGCUUCUCACGCCAGAGAUGCGGGUUCAAAUCCCGGCGCUGUACCA
rnacentral:tRNA from 1 species